rnacentral:piRNA from 1 species
UUAUAAAUUAUAAGAAAGAGUGUCUAGUUC